GUGGGGUAACGGCUCACCAAGGCGACGAUGCGUAGCCGACCUGAGAGGGUGAACGGCCACACUGGGACUGAGACACGGCCCAGACUCCUACGGGAGGCAGCAGUAGGGAAUCUUCCGCAAUGGACGAAAGUCUGACGGAGCAACGCCGCGUGAGUGAUGAAGGUUUUCGGAUCGUAAAGCUCUGUUGCCAGGGAAGAACGUCUUCUGGAGUAACUGCCAGGAGAGUGACGGUACCUGAGAAGAAAGCCCCGGCUAACUAC
rnacentral:rRNA from 1 species